UCAGAUUGAACGCUGGCGGCAGGCUUAACACAUGCAAGUCGAGCGGUAACNGAUCCNGCUUGCUGGAUGCUGACGAGCGGCGGACGGGUGAGUAAUGCAUAGGAAUCUGCCCAGUAGUUGGGGAUAGCCCGGGGAAACCCGGAUUAAUACCGAAUACGCCCUACGGGGGAAAGCAGGGGAUCUUCGGACCUUGCGCUAUUGGAUGAGCCUAUGUCGGAUUAGCUAGUUGGUGGGGUAACGGCCUACCAAGGCGACGAUCCGUAGCUGGUCUGAGAGGAUGAUCAGCCACAUCGGGACUGAGACACGGCCCGAACUCCUACGGGAGGCAGCAGUGGGGAAUAUUGGACAAUGGGGGCAACCCUGAUCCAGCCAUGCCGCGUGUGUGAAGAAGGCUUUCGGGUUGUAAAGCACUUUCAGUGAGGAGGAAAACCUUAUGGCUAAUAUCCAUGAGGCUUGACGUUACUCACAGAAGAAGCACCGGCUAACUCCGUGCCAGCAGCCGCGGUAAUACGGAGGGUGCAAGCGUUAAUCGGAAUUACUGGGCGUAAAG
rnacentral:rRNA from 1 species